CCUACGGGUGGCUGCAGUGGGGGAUAUUGCACAAUGGGGGGAACCCUGAUGCAGCGACGCCGCGUGGGUGAAGAAGGGCCUCGGGGCGUAAAGCCCUGUCAGCAGGGAAGAAAAUGACGGUACCUGAAGAAGAAGCCACGGCUAACGACGUGCCAGCAGCCGCGGAAAUACGUAGGGGGAAAGCGUUAUCCGGAUUUCCUGGGUGUAAAGGGGGCGCAGACGGCGAUGCACGCCCGGAGUGAAAGCCCGGGACCCAACCCCGGGCCUGCUCUUGGAACUGCGUGGCUGGAGUGCAGGAGGGGCAGGCGGAAUUCCUGGUGUAGCGGUGAAAUGCGUAGCUAUCAGGCGGAACACCGGUGGCGAAGGCGGCCUGCUGGACUGCAACUGACGUUGCGGCCCGAUCGCGUGGGGAGCAAACAGGAUUAGAUACCCGGGUAGUC
rnacentral:rRNA from 1 species